rnacentral:rRNA from 1 species
UACAGGGGGUGCAAACGUUGCUCGGAAUCAUUGGGCGUAAGCGCACGUAGGCGGUUCGUUAUGUCGGAUGUGAAAGCCCUUGGCUUAACCGAGGAAGUGCAUCCGAAACUGGCGAGCUAGAGUACGAAAGAGGAUCGCGGAAUUCCCGGUGUAGAGGUGAAAUUCGUAGAUAUCGGGAGGAACACCGGUGGCGAAGGCGGAUCUCUGGGCCGUAACUGACGCUGAGGAGCGAAAGCAUGGGGAGCGAACAGG